AUGGUGAAUAACCGUUCUGUGGUUGAACAAGCUCAUGAGAUACGGUGCAUUGUGAAGGAACUUGAACUCCUUAAAUGUGUUCUACCCGACAAAUUCGUGGCUGGGUGCAUGAUUGCAAAGUUGCCUCCUUCAUGGAGGAAUUUCGUCACAACUCUGAAGCAUAAGAGACAGGAGAUAUCAGUUGAAAAUCUGAUUGCAUCUCUUGAUGUUGAAGAAAAAGCUCGGGCUAAAGAUACCACUGAAAAAGGAGGUGAGGUUCAGCCUACUGCUAACAUGGUGCAGAGGUACCCACAUAACAAGAACAAAGGGAAGAACAAACCUGUUGUCAACAAGCCUACCAAGACUACUACCUUCAAGAAGAAGAAGUUCAACAAGGCUGAGCUAGAGUGCUACGCCUGUGGGAAGCCUGGACACUUUUCCAAGGAAUGCCCUGAACGUGCAGACCGCAGAGGGAAAACAAGCUCCAAGACUGUCAACAUGGUGACCGCUAGCAAUACUGAUGGUAUGGUCACAAGGGAUUCUUCCGUCCUAAUGGGGAAUGGGUCACAUGCUUCUGUUCGUGGCAUUGGCACGGCUAUGAGUGCGGAGGCUUGUUCCGCUUUUCUCUUUCAGAUUUUUGCAAUAAGUCACUAA
rnacentral:rRNA from 1 species